rnacentral:misc_RNA from 1 species
AACGCACAUUGCGCCCGCUAGUAUUCUGGCGGGCAUGCCUGUUCGAGCGUCAUUUCAACCCUCGGACCCCCGGCCUGCCGGGGGACCGGUGUUGGGGCUCGGGCGUCCUCAGCGGCGCCCGUCCCCUAAAUCCAGUGGCGGUCACGAUGUGUCCCUCCUCUGCGUAGUACUACACCUCGCAGCCUGGAGGACCGCGGGACCACGCCGUUAAACCCCCCACUUAUCAAGGUUGACCUCGGAUCAGGUAGGAAUACCCGCUGAACUUAA